AUUGAACGCUGGCGGCAUGCCUUACACAUGCAAGUCGAACGGUAACAGGUUAAGCUGACGAGUGGCGAACGGGUGAGUAAUACAUCGGAACGUGCCCAGACGUGGGGGAUAGCUCGGCGAAAGCCGGAUUAAUACCGCAUGUGAUCUGAGGAUGAAAGCGGGGGACCGUAAGGCCUCGCGCGUUUGGAGCGGCCGAUGGCAGAUUAGGUAGUUGGUGGGGUAAAGGCUUACCAAGCCUACGAUCUGUAGCUGGUCUGAGAGGACGACCAGCCACACUGGGACUGGGACACGGCCCAGACUCCUACGGGAGGCAGCAGUGGGGAAUGUUGGACAAUGGGCGAAAGCCUGAUCCAGCAAUGCCGCGUGCAGGAUGAAGGCCUUCGGGUUGUAAACUGCUUUUGUACGGAACGAAAAGGCGCCUACUAAUACUGGGUGUUGAUGACGGUACCGUAAGAAUAAGCACCGGCUAACUACGUGCCAGCCGCCGCAGUAACAC
rnacentral:rRNA from 1 species